rnacentral:rRNA from 1 species
UAGGGAAUCUUCGGCAAUGGGGGGAACCCUGACCGAGCAACGCCGCGUGAGUGAAGAAGGUUUUCGGAUCGUAAAGCUCUGUUGUUAAGGAGGAACGAGUGUGAGAAUGGAAAGUUCAUGCUGUGACGGUACUUAACCAGAAAGGGACGGCUAACUACGUGCCAGCAGCCGCGGUAAUACGUAGGUCCCGAGCGUUGUCCGGAUUUAUUGGGCGUAAAGCGAGCGCAGGCGGUUAGAAAAGUCUGAAGUGAAAGGCAGUGGCUCAACCAUUGUAGGCUUUGGAAACUGUUUAACUUGAGUGCAGAAGGGGAGAGUGGAAUUCCAUGUGUAGCGGUGAAAUGCGUAGAUAUAUGGAGGAACACCGGUGGCGAAAGCGGCUCUCUGGUCUGUAACCGACGCUGAGGCUCGAAAGCGUGGGGAGCGAACAGG